CUCACUGUGCUGCAUACAAUUACACACUCCGUCGUACGAUUGAGACAAGGAAACUUGGAAUGACUUUUCAUAGGUUUCCCAGAGACUAUGGGUUGAGGAGGAAUUGGAAGUUUGUCGGCUUAGACCUGGUGUCAUUCCAUCAGUGUUAAACUUCCCGGCUCAUCUUGGAAGAGUACGUGCCAGAAAGACCAUGACCAAGCAGCCUUGAGAUCUUAGACAGCGUCUCCCUGAGGUCCCUCUCUAUCUCCCCACACAUCCACCAACCACUGGAACACAUCUCCAAAGUUCUGCUGGGCCAGCUCAGCUUCCCCUCAGAAGAAGUUCCACCACCUGCCAGAUGAAGGAGCCUUUUGAGAGGCAGCUGGCAUCGUGAUUGGACUGUACUUUGGUCUGUUCCAAUCCAGCUUCAGCUCCAGAGACGGCAGGCGGGACGAGUCAACGGAGGCCUGGUGGACGAAGGCAUGCAGCUGAGUACAAUCCAGAAAACAACAGAGGAGGAGUGCAGUGACCCAGAGCCAGAACAACCAGAGUAGCAUCACCAAAGAACUACAGACUCUUCACAACCUGCUCAAACUCUUGGUACAGGACCUCACCACACGGGUCAAGAAGGUUUCUGUCUCAUUUCUACUCUGAAGCUCACCUCCUGCUCAAACUGCUGACAAAUGUUUCUGCUGCUCUAAAGUCUGGUCUCCAGAACUUCCUAAAAACUCUCAAAGUCUCUUCUGCUGCAGGUUGCUUUGUAGAACUGUUCCAGAAAACCUCACUAAAC
ensembl:lncRNA